GUCUGAUUAGACAGGAUUUCAGUGGGAAUUUCUCUGGAGCUGGAAUACUGAAGUCAUGCUGACUUUUUGUGCAAAGUGAAAAUGGCACAGACUCCUAGACACAUCCAUUCACAUACCAAUGGAUCCAUGCAAUAUUUGCUCUUGUAUUUGCUUUGAGAAUGUCACAGCAGCACAGAUACUGCAGUUAGGUGCAUGGCUGUGGUGAAGCACUUUGAUUUAUUUCCCCAGACUACAAGGACUUUUUCACUGCCUUCUGCUAUCAGCUAAGAAAAAGGAGCUUUUUAUUUUCACAGUGGCACUCCAAGCUUUCUCAGAUCUCUGAAAUGAGUGAUCCAGAUGUUAAAGGACACAGCAGGACUCAAUGGGGAUUUGGAAAAGACUGGCAAAUAGGUACACAAGACUGUCCUCUGAGUCACACAAUUUAGUAAACUGUGAUUAUACUAAACCCCAAAUCAGAAAACUGGGAAAUUAUGGGAAAAUGUCUGAAGGCAUGUUGGAAUGUUUAUGAAAGAAAAUAGAAGAAAGUCAAAUUUCCAGUGUUUCCAUAUAAUGCCUGUCAAGUUUGUUUACAGAAGCCUCACCCCUGGAGCAAGCAAGAUAACCAAAGUAACCUGGUCAAAGACAAGGAAGAAAAGACUUCAAAUACGGGAUGAUGGGAUCCUGCAGAGGGAACAUGGACUCCUUAAUCACUCAGUAUUGUUUCUCAGGGGAAAGUUUCUCAUCUAUCCCUUUUUUCCCCCUCUUCUUACCCACAGAUAAAAGGUGUAGCCCCCUUGCCUUUACAUGCCUGCCCUUUCCAUCCUUCCCCACUCCGGCAUUUGAAUGCAGUUUUUCUGUAAAACACAAGCAGUAAACUCAAAGGAGGGGGAACCCCCCCCGCCCCCGAUAAAUAUAUCUAAAUGGGUAUAUUCCCUUUUCCCAAACAUUCUACUGAUUAUUUUCCCUAAAACAUCUACUUUUUUGUUCUGUCAGUCCCUAGCCGCUCUCCUGGCCUUGUUGAAAGCUUUUUAAUUCAGAGCCAAAGAGGAGGCCAGCUGACUGCAGGCAGGGCCUCACCUCAAUCUGCCUCCUGCAGCCUCAGCCCUCUCUGAGAGGGAUGGAUCACUUAAUUGUAAUUAUACUGCGCCAGCGUUUGCCUUUGCAAGUGCAGCAACUUUCAUCAAAGCACUUUUCGAAUAUAAGAGACAAGUACAAUUUCAAAAUAGAGCAGUUUGAACCAUUCUAUUUAAUCCAAUAAAAUGUAGUGGCAAAUGGUAUUUAAAAAAAAA
rnacentral:lncRNA from 1 species